GACGAACGCUGGCGGCGUGCUUAACACAUGCCAGUCGAACGGAAAGGCCCCUUUGGGGGUACUCGAGUGGCGAACGGGUGAGUAACACGUGAGUAACCUGCCCUUGACUUCGGGAUAACUUCAGGAAACUGGGGCUAAUACCGGAUAGGAAUCCUUGCUGCAUGGUGGGGGUUGGAAAGCUUCGGCGGUUUUGGAUGGACUCGCGGCUUAUCAGCUUGUUGGUGGGGUAGUGGCUUACCAAGGCUUUGACGGGUAGCCGGCCUGAGAGGGCGACCGGCCACAUUGGGACUGAGAUACGGCCCAGACUCCUACGGGAGGCAGCAGUGGGGAAUAUUGCACAAUGGGCGGAAGCCUGAUGCAGCAACGCCGCGUGCGGGAUGACGGCCUUCGGGUUGUAACCGCUUUCAGCAGGGGCGAAGCUUGUGGUGACGGUACCUGCAGAAGAAGCACCGGCUAACUACGUG
rnacentral:rRNA from 1 species